ACUCCUACGGGAGGCAGCAGUAGGGAAUCUUCCACAAUGGGCGCAAGCCUGAUGGAGCAACACCGCGUGAGUGAAGAAGGGUUUCGGCUCGUAAAGCUCUGUUGUUAAAGAAGAACACGUAUGAGAGUAACUGUUCAUACGUUGACGGUAUUUAACCAGAAAGUCACGGCUAACUACGUGCCAGCAGCCGCGGUAAUACGUAGGUGGCAAGCGUUAUCCGGAUUUUAUUGGGCGUAAAGAGAGUGCAGGCGGUUUUCUAAGUCUGAUGUGAAAGCCUUCGGCUUAACCGGAGAAGUGCAUCGGAAACUGGAUAACUUGAGUGCAGAAGAGGGUAGUGGAACUCCAUGUGUAGCGGUGGAAUGCGUAGAUAUAUGGAAGAACACCAGUGGCGAAGGCGGCUACCUGGUCUGCAACGUGACGCUGAGACUCGAAAGCAUGGGUAGCGAACAGGAUUAGAUACCCCGUGGUAGGAUAGCG
rnacentral:rRNA from 1 species